GGCACUAUAGCCAAGUGGUUACGGCGACAGAUUCGAAUGCUUAAUACAAUCUGUUUCCCUUUGGGAGCGCAGGUUCAAAUCCUGCUGGUGUCG